rnacentral:rRNA from 1 species
AUUGAACGCUGGCGGCAGGCUUAACACAUGCAAGUCGAGCGGUAACAGAGAGAAGCUUGCUUCUCUGCUGACGAGCGGCGGACGGGUGAGUAAUGCCUAGGAAUCUGCCUAGUCGUGGGGGAUAACUUGCCGAAAGGUAAGCUAAUACCGCAUACGUCCUACGGGAGAAAGGAGGGGACCUUCGGGCCUUUCGCUAUUAGAUGAGCCUAGGUCGGAUUAGUUAGUUGGUGAGGUAAUGGCUCACCAAGACCGCGAUCCGUAACUGGUCUGAGAGGAUGAUCAGUCACACUGGAACUGAGACACGGUCCAGACUCCUAAGGGAGGCAGCAGUGGGGAAUAUUGGACAAUGGGGGGAACCCUGAUCCAGCCAUGCCGCGUGUGUGAAGAAGGUCUUAGGAUUGUAAAGCACUUUAAGUUGGGAGGAAGAGCAGUUAACUAAUAUUUGACUGUUUUGACGUUACCGACAGAAUAAGCACCGGCUAACUUCGUG